UACGUAGGGUGCGAGCGUUAAUCGGAAUUACUGGGCGUAAAGCGUGCGCAGGCGGUGUUCCAUGUCAGAGGUGAAAGCCUGGGGCUCAACUCCAGAAUUGCCUUUGAAACGGGGACGCUUGAGUCCGAGAGAGGAUGGCGGAAUUCCUAGUGUAGAGGUGAAAUUCGUAGAUAUUAGGAAGAACACCAGUGGCGAAGGCGGCCAUCUGGCUCGGUACUGACGCUCAGGUUCGAAAGCGUGGGGAGCAAACAGG
rnacentral:rRNA from 1 species